UUGAAAUAAACCUGAUGGGCUGUUGCUGGUUCUCUAGGGAGCAUGUGCACGCCUUGUCAUCUUUAUAUCUCCACCUGUGCACUCUUUGUAGACCUUUCAGGUCUAUGUUGCUUCAUUUACCCCCAAUGUAUGUUAAUAGAAUGUUGUGCCUAUAAAAUUUAUA
rnacentral:misc_RNA from 1 species